ensembl:lncRNA
CGUACUUUGGCCACCUCAUGCGAAGAGUUGACUCAUUGGAAAAGACUGAUGAUGGGAGGGAUUAGGGGCAGGAGGAGAAGGGGAUGACAGAGGAUGAGAUGGCUGGAUGGCUGGAUGGCAUCACCGACUCGAUGGACGUGAGUUUGAGUGAACUCCAGGAGUUGGUGAUGGACAGGGAGGCCUGGCGUGCUGCAAUUCAUGGAGUCGGAUAUGACUGAGCAGCUGAACUGAACCAAACUGAGGCCCUUGACUGGAGUCUUAUACCACCUCCCCUCCUCUUGCAGCAUUUCCCCUGCCUCCCAAGGGUAGCCUUAUAAGCCUUGGACACUGAGAACCUGAAGGGCUCACUUCUGUUUCAGCGUUUCUACUAACUCUGGAGGAAGCCCUUAAAUAUCGACAGGGGUCUGAAGCCUUGGUUCAUUUUAUUUUUUAGGCACAGAAAUAAAUGGUUUGUGCUAUUUUUGAGUGGUGGAUAUUGAACUCGGGGUGUAGGGCAAAGUGGUUUCUAUGUCUCUCUAAAGAGGAGAAGCAGGCAGCUCUAGCGGCAGGUGACCUUCUGAUGGGGACAGGUGGGAAGUAGUUCUUAACCAUUCCUGGGCAGGUGUGGGCGGCCACGCUCUGGACAGCCAGCCUCUUGGGCUUCAGGAUUGACAGGGGUGGUGGUCCUGGCCUUGCAGGAUUCCUGCCCGGUGGUGGGGGAGGCAUCUCCUAGCAGUGAAGGAAGACAUUAUGGGUUCAUCAUCAGCCUCCUGUGAUCAGACUUACGGCCAAGUGCCAAGCCUUUUGUAACCAUAAUCAGUUAGGACAAAGCAAAGGGCUGUAAACUGCAGAAUUCUGCUGGCGUCUGCCUUCCCGUAGAAACAAGAUGCUUCUGGGACUUCCCUGGUGGUGGCAGUGGAUAAGAAUCUGCCUGCCAAUGCAGGGGAUUCCGGGUUGAUCCCUGGUCUGAGAGGAUCCCACAUGCCGUGGAGCAACUAAGCCUGUACAGCCCCUGGGUGUGCCCUGGAGCCCAUGGUCCACAACAAGAGAAGCCACCGAAAUGAGAAGCCUGAGCGCUGCAGUGAAGAGUAGCCCCCCCACCAAAGCAGAACAACACAACAAAAAAGAAACAGGAUGCUUCUAGAAAAGAAAACCAGUUCAGAAACCUGGCACUGAAAACCUUUCAGUGUUGUAGUGUGGACUCGUUAGUUUAGGGUUUUAUAACUGGCUAAAGGUUCUGGCAUUUACUGCAGGGUGGCUAGUUGUAUUCAUCUGAUUCAGUUCAUUUCCUAGGAGAACCAAUUACAACUCCAUUUUCACUAAUUUACGGUUGUAAUCCAUCUAUUUCAGAGCCGGGAUUAAAUUAUCGCCUACCUCCAGAAGAUGUAUGUUUGAACUUAAGUAUCUGUGGGGUUUUCAUAUUCUGUGAAAGACAAAGGGGUAAAAGUUAGCUCAUUGUUAAGUUUUGUUUUCUUCUACUUACUGUUAUUAUUUUGUUGGAAAAUUUUUACUGCAUGUAUUUUUUUUUAAAAAGGCAACUGAAACCUAACAUCAAGGGAAGCCUUCCUCCUGUCUCAGGCACCCACAUGACUUCUUUGGAGCAAGACCACUGCUGCUUGUGUGUACAUCCAGUGUUCUGGAAAUAGCUAACUACCAGCUUAACUUCAACUCCUCUGUCCAUGGGAUUUUCCAGGCGAGAAUACAGAAGUGGGUUGCCAUUCCCUUCUCCAGGGGAUCUUCCAGACCCGGGGAUCGAACCCAGGUCUCCUGCAUUACAGACAGAUUCUUCACCAUCUGAGCCGCUAGGGAUACCCAACUACCAGCUUUACUCAGGUCAUUUCACUUUCUCCUUGUUUUUUCCCUCCCUUGUUCUUCCUGUAAUACAAAGACAUCUCUCCUUUACUUACUUUUAAAAAGUAAAGUCAUUGAAUUGUACACUUUGGUUGGUAAAUUUUUAUGGUCUGUGAAUUGCAUUUCAAUUUAAUAAACAGUAACCUUAGAGUCUGGGGACUGAUUAGGAGAGAAAAGAUGAAGAGUGGAAUACUUUCAUCUUUAUAUCAUCAGAGGUGGCUAGAGAGGUUCUCCAAAGAUUUUCGCAGCUUGGGUUAAAAACAUAUUUUUAUGGAGUAUUUAGAAGGAGGAGCCUGUGGUGAGCCUGACAGGGUUCCUGCUACAUAGUUAAGUUCACUGGGGUGAUGAAUCUCAGCAUGAGGAGGGUGAACAGCAGGUCAGUAAUUGCAGGCAGCUUAACCAGGCAGCAGAAUGGUAGUUAAGGUUCUUCAUAGAUAAAUACAUGUGUGGAAAAGAAUCUGAAAUGUCCUUACCUUACUUUUCUGAGUUGAGGAUGUAAGUUUGAAGUCCUGUCUCUUUAGAACCUAGAGACAUCUGUCUUGCUUUACAAGUGGAUAGUUUUCAAC